AUGGUUAUCUCAUUGAUUCACUACUUGGGUUGAUAUAGGGCUUAUUUUUAAAAAUAAUUUAAUGUAAAAUUACAUAUAAAUAUAUUGUAUUUUUGGUGAGACGCUGGAGGUAUCAGAACAGGCUGAAGACUACAGAUUAAAUCUGUGCCCUAAGCAAACGAACCAACAAUAUGCCACAAGUAUUGAAUAACAAAGAGGCACGCAG
rnacentral:ncRNA from 1 species